CUACGUGCCAGCAGCCGCGGUAAUACGGAGGAUGCGAGCGUUAUCCGGAUUUAUUGGGUUUAAAGGGUGCGUAGGUUGUUCGGUAAGUCAGCGGUGAAACCUGAGCGCUCAACGUUCAGCCUGCCGUUGAAACUGCCGGGCUUGAGUUCAGUGGCGGCAGGCGGAAUUCGUGGUGUAGCGGUGAAAUGCAUAGAUAUCACGAGGAACUCCGAUUGCGAAGGCAGCUUGCCAUACUGCGACUGACACUGAAGCACGAAGGCGUGGGUAUCAAACAGGAUUAGAUACCCUGGUAGUCCACGCAGUAAACGAUGAUAACUGGGCGUAUGCGAUAUACAGUAUGCUCCUAAGCGAAAGCGUUAAGUUAUCCACCUGGGGAGUACGCCGGCAACGGUGAAACUCAAAGGAAUUGACGGGGGCCCGCACAAGCGGAGGAACAUGUGGUUUAAUUCGAUGAUACGCGAGGAACCUUACCCGGGAUUGAA
rnacentral:rRNA from 1 species